UAGAGGAAGACAGCCGGUUUGGUCUUUUGAGGCAAAGUUCUGAGACACUUCGACUCUGAGUAUGAUAGAAGUCAGUGCACUACAGAACUUUGUCUCUAGAGGCUGUGGUCGCCGCCUCCCCGCGAGGGCCCUGGACGCCAAGCUGGUGGCCCUGUUGGCCACGUCGUUGCACCUUUCCUUUGGGGGAGGGGCAGGCCAGAGGGGACCACAGAGCCCUGAGAAGAACUUGACUAACCGCCUUGAAGCCAAUGGGUUAGAUCUCAUAAAGGGAGUAUUCACCUCCCCCCACACUUUCUUCUUACCUUGGUGGACUUCUGAUUUUAUCCCCCCCCCCCCGGUAUUUUAAAAAUACUAAAACAAUCUGGCUUCACUUAUUGAGCAAAGAGAGGAGGACCACACGUUUAUUGAUGGGUGUGUUGGUGUGUUCAAGCUGUACCCUUAAAGAAGGAAAUGCAUUUGUGCCAAAGCCACAGAUACUCAAAUGUCCUGUUAGAUAAACCAGCCUGCAAGGACCCGGUUUGGGGAUUCAGUUUCAGUUCUGAGUCUGAUUUAGGCCUGAUUCACUUUUCUUUUCUUUCCUUUUUUUUUUAAGUGGGUUUUGUUAAUGGAAAAGAAGUACGUUUUCUAAGAAAGCAUUUUGACAGUCAUUUAUGAGGAUAGUGUUUAUACUUUGGGGUUGUGAGGUACUUUACAUGGAGAGACUGCUCUCCUGGACCCUAAUGGAAUGUGGGUUGUGGUUGGCAAGUUGCAGUUAAUCGGCUGCUCUGUGCAGGGGGCAGUGACUGGCAUUGAACUGUGUCUUGUUCUGUGGUCAUUGCCCUAGUUUGAAUUGAUGAGCAUUUGGCUGGAGAGCUGGUGGAGUCCAGGAAUUACAAAACCUUUAUUAACAAAGUCACUCAUCUGACACAUGCAUUCUGGGUGCCAGGCUGUGACACCUGGGAUGAGCAAGAAGGCACGAAGCCUCCUUUGGUGAUCCCGGGCAAGUAAAUUCCUAAAGGACCGCCAGGCACAGUUUGUAGAAUGCUUCAUAAGCCUUGGGGUUACAUGUUCUGUGUCUCUGGGAAGCCUUGAUUUUAAAAAACAAAAGUUCACCACCGAUAUCGCAGUUUAGCGCUGAGGUAAUGGAGGGAGAGGGAAAGUAUUGGAGCCUCCUGGAGGGACUUUGCAGUUGGUUUUCUCUCGUGUGUGGCCCCCAGAGCCCAGGUGUUCUUCUGAGACCAUCACCCAUUCUCCUCCUUUCCCAUCUGUCGUUGAGCUUCGUCUCUUAGCCUUUCUACCCAAAAGGUAGCUAAUUCUAUAUUUGCAGUUAAAUAAAGUAAUCCAAACUCAGGUUCUUUUUGUUUUCAUUCAAGAUACAAGGUAUGCUUCCUGGUAAGGAGGAUUUUCUUUCCUGGCUUUUGUGAUAGAAAGUGUCUACAAGAUACUGUGUAACCAACUUUGUAAGAGAAUGCCCGUGGCCUUUGGAGGGUGUGGGUGAAGUGGUUGGCUGGGACUGUGGUCAUCCGGUCAGGACUUGAAGUAAGAGCAAGGGUUGAGUUCCCCCACUGAAUCCAUCUGGUUAUAAAAAUGAUUUGGUUAAAAGUCUUGCUUUGUCUCCUGCCUGUGGCCAUGAGUUAAUUAAAAGACCAGCCAGAUAGGAAGGCUUGUGUCUUACGCUGGUGGCGUAGGGCCCAGGAGUAGGGCCCAGCAGGCUGGAUGUGCCAUCAAGUUGACAUUUUUUUCGUAGACCUUAGUCAUUGAGUGACCAGAACCUUGAUACCGACUGAACAUCAGGUGUUAGGGGCUGGGGGUACAGCUGCAUGCAAAAUCAGCUCAGAUCUCCAUCCUGGAGUUCAUUCCCAUGUUCAAGGUGGACAGUGCCACCAGCAUCCAGAAGGUUGGUAAGCAUGGCAGGGAUGAGCUGAAAGGCAAUGCUGGGAAGGCCAUUUGUUAUUUUAACCCAGCUUGCUGAGCCAAAGGGCACUGCCACCAGCAACCCAGUUUACAUAGCCCAGGCUCCAUUACCAGAAAAUGAACUGAAUGAAAGGUACAGCUGAAUUAUGCCAUUGAACACCAGUAACCUUUCAUUAUUUUUAAAACAUUUUUAACCUCAAAUGCAAAGGUUGGGAACUAUGGGCAUGGUUCUAGGAGAUAUCUGGAGCAAGGAUCUAGGGCACUAUGCCACUGGGCCACAGGUUCUUGGUUGAUUAAGUCUAGGAUUUUGGGUACUUUUGGAGUCCAAAAUAAUUGAUUCUAAAAGCUCAUGUACUCAGAUACUCCUUGGGGACUUCUAAACUUACUUUAAUGGCCUAUCUGUGGGAAUAUGCACAUGAUUAUCAAUGCCCUGGGAGGCCAGAGACAUGGGUUUCCCCUGGAGCUGGAAUUACAAGCAGCUGUGAAUUGCCCAACAUGGGUGAUGGGGACUGAACUUGGGUCUUCUGCAAGUGCAGCAUACACUUUUAGCCUCGAACCAUCUCUCUAGCCCCUCAGAAAGUCUUUAAAUCACUGGAAACGGAGUGGACACUCUUCUCGGGCUGUCCAGGAGCUGGCCACAGGUGUGCCGCCAUUAGGUCCAUGUGUGGAGUUCUGGAAGCACCAACUUGCUUAGCUCCUCAUUAGGAGACCUAAGGUGUCCUUGAUGGACAGUACAUAGAGUAAUUACAGGGGCUUCCUUGGGGUGAUCACUACAGACACAGGUUGAAGUCUUAAAAAUGCAAAGGCUACAAGUAGGGGGAAAUGACAGAACUUUGGUCACACUGCUGUAGGUGACAGAUAAGAACUAGAAACCCACAUGGCCCGAUGCAGGAAGACAGUGUCCCUUCAGCAGACCUCUGGUAAUCCUGGUGAGGAUUCCCAUGAAUAUGAGCCACAAGUUCAUUAGCUGGACGCUAGGGAAAUUAGCAGAGGCUUCGCCUGAGGAAAAAGCCACCACCAAGAUGGCCUCUUUACUCUGCUCCUUAGCCUUUCUCUUCUUGCUAGUUCACAGGAAAAUAAGCCAAUGUGAUUACACAGCGAUUGAACCCCAGCACACAGUUGUACAGUACUUAAUUUGUGGUGAGUAUUAGAAGCAUUCAUAUGCCAAAUCCUUGUAGCUGUUCAUUCCCGUGUCACAGGUAGGGAAGCUGAGGAAUAAACAUGAAGUAAUUUAACCCAGGCUGAAAGUCUGGCAGAAGUUAGGCACAAACCAUGUGUUGGUUUUAAUGUCAAUUUGCCAUAGAUUGGAAUCACGAGUAGGGAGCCUCACCUAAGGAAUUGUCCUGGUUGCUUUAGUGUGAGAACUAAAACUUCGGUUUUGAUUUGUUUCUCUGUUGCUGUGAUAAAACAUCGAUCACAAGCAACUUGGGGGAUGAAAGUGCUUGUUUGACUUACAAGUCACGGUCUGUCGUCAAUGGAAGCCAAGGCAGGAGCUGAAGGAGAGACCAUGGAGGCGUGUCCCUCCUGCCUUGCUUGGUUCAUUCUACAGCCCAGACCCACCUGCUUAGGGAUGGCAUUGUCCACUGUGGUCUGGGCCGUCCUACACAAGUCAGCAAUCAGGAGAAUACUGCCCACCCCCAACAUGCCCUCAGACCAACCUGAGGGAGGCAGUCCCUCUGCUGAGGCUCUUUUUUCCCAGGUGUGUCAAAUCGACAGACAAGACAGAUCAGCCACCACACCCAGCAUUCAGGGGGGCUCUUGUCUGUUCCGAAUAGUUGUGUUGUAGAGCAGCAGUCUUCAACCUGGGGGUCCCCCCAUCAGAUAUUUACAUUAUGAUUCAUAACAGCAAAAUCACAGUUAUGUAUUAGCAAUGGGAAUAAUUUUAUGGUUGGGGGUCAUCACGGCAUGAGGAGCUGUGUUAAAGGGUCUCAGCUUUAGAAAGGUUGUGAACCACUGCAAGCAGUGGGUAUUGUUUCCAGAUCUGACAAUAGUGCUAUAAAGCCUGGGAGUCUGGAUGUAAAAUUAACGGUGCCGAGUCCCGGGUAUUUGCUCCAUGCAGAUGUCUUGUUUUCCAAGGUGGGGAUAGCACUGCUUUGGAGCUUGUUGUGCUGUUUUGGGCGGAUUGCCCACAUUGCCACUGGGCAGAAUUGAAUGUUAGAGAGAGAGAAUAGCAAUUUCUUCAACAGGUGUCCUGGUUAAUAUGAAAAAGUAAUAGAAGUAGGAAAUAAACUGCAUUAAUGUGUUCAUUCAACAUCCUCUGAGCUCUUAACAGGCAUCGGAAACCUUGGGUGUGCCAUUUCAGGGAAGGUACAGACACAGAAUGCUGCUCCGUCAAUUCGAAAUGUCCAGCGAGGCUUCCCGAAGGAAAUGAUGAUGGAGCUGAACCCUAAACACCUGGAGAGGGAAGGAAGGGCUCUCUAGUUACUGGAAGAGCCCAGUGCAGACUCAUGGAGCUAUGCACCAGUGUGGUGUGCUUAGGAAUUAGCAAGCCUUUACAUGUGGCAUGUGGGAGCAACAGGAAGCAAAGCUCUGGAGAUGGGUUGGAGAAAACUAUGAGCGCCUUGUGUGUUACAUUUAAAAGUUUGAACUGGUCCUGAAAGCCACGGGGAGCAAUGAAAGAUCUUAAACACAGAAAACGCCCACCAACCCUGCUUUUGUAGAAACAUUCUGGCGUCAUGAGAGGGAGCAGUGUUUGGAAGCAGAAUCCCAGUUAGGAAGCCCUUAGAGAAGCAUUGGGCGGACACGAUGGCAGCCAGAGGUGUGCGUAGGAGGAGAGCAGGAAGACCUACCUGGCAUGGCCACAUAGAAGAACACCCAAGGAAACUUGCUGGUGAGGCCUUUCCGUAUGCGUUCCUGGUAAUACUAGCCCAAAAGAGACACUGUCACUCAAGCACACUGUGGAUAAAAUGUCCAAACCUUAACUUUGCUUGACUGUAAUCAUCAGUUAAUUCUGGAAGUGUGAUAUUAGAAAUGUUUCUUUACCCCUUGGUUGGCAUAUUAGAGAUAAUACUUAGUUGGUGAAAUCUAAAGAAUAGCCUAUUGCCAAAGCGUAUCGAAGACACAGGAUAUAAAAAGUAUCUGAGCUGCGGGUGGAGGCUAGGGUAGGUGGAGGCUGGGGAGGGUUUUAGUAAGGAAUAGUCCAAAGCAAUGGUUCUGAACCUCCCUUUAAUCCAGUUCCUCAUGCUGGGUGACCUCCAACCAUAAAAUCAUUUUCGUUGCUAUGUUGUAAUUAAUUUUGCUACUGUUGUGAAUUGUAAUAUAAAUAUCUGUGUUUUCAGGUGGUCUUAGGUGACCCCUGGGGGUCAUUGGACCCCCAGGCUGAGAACUGCUGGUCUAAAGGAUGAGGGUGGCCUCACAGACCAGGGUAAGGCUGAACCAGGGAGGAAGCGUGGGCAGCUGGUACCACUCAGCUCUCCAGUGGGGAGAGGAGGUUCCAUGGGAAUGGAGGCUGUAGGAGAUGGCUGUCCACCUCCUACUGGUGGAAGUGACAGCCUUUGGUGGGGCAUGCAGCCACAGUCAGCCUGGGAGGGGGGGAGCUGGGGAGUGCACACUUAGUGCUCCUCCAGGCUCCUCCAGCACAGCUGGAGACUAGGGGCAGUUAGCACACCUGAACAGCCCUUGGUGGCCAGUGUGAACAGUGAUCUGAAGGCCAUAGGGGGAAUUGUCAUGUCAGUUUUAUUGUCUUGAUUACCAAGUGAAACAUAAAGAGAAUUAUAAGAUCAAUCAACUGGGGUUUUAUUAAAAGCUCAGGUGUCUGCAUCUAGAUUUCUUUUUUUUUUUGCCACAUAGUAUAAUCAUCAUCUGUGUCAUCAGAGGCAUAAAUUACAGGUUCAGUAAUUAAAGAACAUUUUUGUAUUUAUGUGUAGAAGUGUUAUGUAUAUAUGUAUGUAUAUAUACUACAUGCAUACCUGUUGCUUUUGGAAGAGGGUUCAGUUCCUCUGGAACUGAAGUUAUAGAUGUUUAUGAGCCAAAUGAACGAAACCUUGGUCCUUUGCCAGAGCAGCAAGUGCUCUUAGCCGCUGAGUCAUCUCUCCUGCCCAAGUGCAGUCCAGUCUUGUCUCUGCCGUCAAGUCGCUGACACCCGCACGGGUUUGAUGCUAAGACUUUUUUCUCCAUUUCCUUAAGGUCUGUCCAUGUUUAACAAUAACACCUGAAGACAAUGAGGUUUCGUUGCCCACACAAGGAGGGACCAACGGAGUGAAUUUCUGUGAGCAUAAGACUUAUCAGACAUUGGUUUUUAAGAGGCAUCUGAAUGAAUCAUUUCAAAGAAGCAUUCCAAACCAGUGGCCCAUGGAUGAGUUUCUGAUGGGUCCAAAACUUGCUCUCUUCUUUUCUCAGAGAGACCACACAGCACCUAAGACAACUGUAAUCCUUAGGCUGAAAGUGACGGGCUUUGAGCAACAUUGCCCCCUGACCCCAGUGUGCCCUAAAAUGCGAUCAGUUCUUGCCUGCAAUGUGAUAUGAGGAAGGCUGAGAAGCAUGCUCUGGCAGAUGUCUGUCUUCAGCCUGGAUGGACUUCUGAGUUCAUGUUUAAUUCAGUAUCAUCUGCGUGCAUCAGUAGACGGGUACCUGAUGGAGAGCUGCACCAAAUAAGCCUCACCUUCCAUGGCAAGAAAGCCCCCAUUCCAGAUGAUGGAAGGUAUAACCAGGACUUUGAAACUCCUCUGCAUCAUGAUAGAAGGAGAAACAGGCUAGUUUGUGGUUCCUUGCACAAUAAAAUCUGUACAUUGCCUUUGAACCAGCAAUUCAUCUUGUGUUUGUUAGCAUGCUCUUGACACUAAUAUAAGCCUAAUUUAGCUCAAUUACCUGAAAGAAAACCACUUCUAAGAGGACCAGAGGUAGGGAGGCUCCAGGGUUAGUUAGGUCGGCUGCUUGGUGCUUUGCAGUUCUGAGUUCAUUCUGUUCCUCCUCUCCCAUUCUCGGCUUCUUUGCCUGGCUAUCUUACUAGAUUUUCUGGUGGCCAAAGGCAGAUGCAACACUCUGCAUGAUGGAUUUGCAGGAUGUCCCUGUGUGCCUUGCUUUUAUUUAUUUUUUUCUAAGACCACCGACCACUCUCUGCUAUUUCCCACAGAGCAGAAUUGCACUGGAUGCCCAGGCAUUAACCAAUCAUCGUAGUGGGAAUGGAAUCAUUCUAGUUGACCUAAACCAAUCAAGACUCGAGUCUGAGGCCUGGGGCUUUGAGUGAACAAAAACUGAGUUUGUUCUAUUAGUACUAGCAAAGAAGAGCUGGAGAGAUGCCUCUUGGGAAGUGAAUAGCAGGGUCUGCUGAAGGGCCACUAAGGGAGCAGACUCACAAAACUGCAGCUCCGUGGAGACUGACACUCUUCGAUGUGUCAUCUUCAAACGCAAAACUUUAUAAUUAAGAUGUCCAUUGAUCAAGGGAGAGUUAAAAUCUGACUCAGCCACUCAGUGAAAAGUGAAAGGGACACAAGAGCAGUCAACACGGACGAUGAAGGAAGUGUCUCCAAUGAAGAGAAUGCCAUAGAACGACAAACCGGUCUGAUCCACUUGCAUCUCUGGUGUGCAGUCAGGGGCAUGUGGGCUUAAAACAAACUUUUAAGUAGACUUUUCUAGCUGGUGCGAGGGGAUUAGAGCUUUGACUCUUAUGAUGGUUUGAAUGAGAAUGGUCCCAUAGGCUCCUAUGUUUGAUGACUUGGUCCCCAGUUGAUAGAACUACUUGGGAAUGACUAUGACAUGUGGCCUUUGCUGGACAAGGCAUGUUAGGCUUCAGAAGAUUUAGACCAUUCUGAGUGUCUGUCUGUCUCCCCCCAUUCCCUCUGUGAUGUGGGAUGUCCUUCUGUAUACUGCAAAUGUGUUGACUUUAUUGAUUGAUGAAUAAAGCUGAUUUGGCCUGUGGCAGGGCAGACUAUAGCUAGGUGGGAAAUCCAAGCAGAGCUGUAGAGAGAAAGAAGGUGGAGUCGGAAGAGAAGCCGCCAGCCACCAAUGGAGCAAGAUUAGAAAAUGGGGCAACACCACGACUAUGUGGCAGUACAUAGAUUAAUAGAAAUGGGUUAAUUUAAAUGUAAGGGCUAGCUAGUAAUAAGCCUGAGCCAUCAGCCAAACGUUAAACAUUCA